rnacentral:rRNA from 1 species
UACGUAGGGUGCGAGCGUUAAUCGGAAUUACUGGGCGUAAAGCGUGCGCAGGCGGUUGCUGAAGUCCGUUGUGAAAGCCCCGGGCUUAACCUGGGAAUGGCAGUGGAAACUAGGCGACUUGAAUCUGGCAGAGGGGGGUGGAAUGCCACGUGUAGCAGUGAAAUGCGUAGAGAUGUGGCGGAACACCGAUGGCGAAGGCAGCCCCCUGGGUCGAGAUUGACGCUCAUGCACGAAAGCGUGGGGAGCAAACAGG